GAGCCGGUAGCUCAGCUUGGUAGAGCACUUGACUUUUAAUCAAGUGGUCGCGAGUUCAAAUCUCGUCCGGCUCGCCA
rnacentral:tRNA from 1 species